rnacentral:rRNA from 1 species
UACAGAGGGGGCAAGCGUUGUUCGGAAUUACUGGGCGUAAAGGGCGCGUAGGCGGCCUGCUAAGUCGAACGUGAAAUCCCUGGGCUCAACCCAGGAACUGCGUCCGAUACUGGUUGGCUUGAAUCCGGGAGAGGGACGUGGAAUUCCAGGUGUAGCGGUGAAAUGCGUAGAUAUCUGGAGGAACACCGGUGGCGAAGGCGACGUCCUGGACCGGCAUUGACGCUGAGGCGCGCAAAGCCAGGGGAAGCAAAGCGGG